rnacentral:SRP_RNA from 1 species
GCUGGGCACAGUGGUGCAUGCCUGUAGUCCCAUCUCCUCAGGGGGCUGCAGCAGGAGGAUCGCUUGAGCCUAGGAGUUCUGGGCUCUAGUACACUAUGCCCUUUGGGUAUUCAUACGAAGUUCGGCAUCAGGGUGGUGAUCUCCUGUGAGCAGGGGACCACCCGAUUGCCUUAGGGAGAGGUAAAAUGGCCCAGAUGAGAAAUGGAGGCAGGUCAAAACUUCUGUGUUAAAAUGAGAUAACACCUGAGAAUACCCACUGCAUUCCAACCUGGGCAACACAGAAAGACACUAUGUCUU